AUUGAACGCUGGCGGCAGGCUUAACACAUGCAAGUCGAACGGUAGCAGGAGAAAGCUUGCUUUCUUGCUGACGAGUGGCGGACGGGUGAGUAAUGCUUGGGAAUCUGGCUUAUGGAGGGGGAUAACUACGGGAAACUGUAGCUAAUACCGCGUAUUAUCGAAAGAUUAAAGUGUGGGACCUUCGGGCCACAUGCCAUAAGAUGAGCCCAAGUGGGAUUAGGUAGUUGGUGGGGUAAAGGCCUACCAAGCCUGCGAUCUCUAGCUGGUCUGAGAGGAUGACCAGCCACACUGGAACUGAGACACGGUCCAG
rnacentral:rRNA from 1 species